rnacentral:tRNA from 1 species
CAGGGAGACAACAAAAUGUUUAAUAUUAAUUUUGUCACCUUAGGUCGAUCGGUAUCUCGCAUUCUUAAAUUUAUUUAAGGAUAUUAUUUCCUAAGUUUUUUCUAGGUCACACCCAUUAUUUUCCUGGGCCAUUAGCUCAGGUGGUUAGAGCGCACCCCUGAUAAGGGUGAGGUCCCUGGUUCAAGUCCAGGAUGGCCCAUAUCUCUAUCUUUAUGUUGGGGGUAUAGCUCAGUUGGUAGAGCGCCUGCUUUGCAAGCAGGAUGUCAGCGGUUCGAGUCCGCUUACCUCCACUGAUCACCACCUCUUCCAUUAUUUUUAGAAGGAAAAUUUUUGAGUUGUGAUCAAAUUCUGAACGAAUCUAGCUUCCUAAUAACUUAAUUAAGAUGCUGGACUCAUUGAAUUAAUUUCAUUGUUUUCAGAGAACCUUGACAACUGCAUAGAUUAUUUUAAAGACAAUAAGCAUCUUUAUGAUGCAGAUUUAUUAUUUGUGCGAAUGCAUUAAUAACAAUUCUAUUAAGCUGAUGCUUCAAUUUUGAAGUUAUU